UCAACAUUGUCACUUAACAAUUGUCAUCAUGAACAAAAUUUACAAAUAAUUUAAUUUACACUUUUCGUAUCCUUUACUAUGUAAAAUCAACAGUGUAGAUGUGAUCUUGUAUCACAUGUGUUUUUGCAUCUGUGUACCCCAGUUGUGCUGUUAUCCUUCUCUAUUCAGUCCUUGUCUCGCUUGCCUGCCAUUCUGCGUUAAAGGUAUAAAAUGGUGCCAAUGCUUCAUCGUUAACUACGACAGCGAGGAAAACUUGCAUCCAUCUACACAACAGACCAACAAAAACCAAGAUCGUUCUAAAUGAUUCAUUCUUUGGAUAAUAAAUUUGUAUAUAUGUA